rnacentral:rRNA from 1 species
AUCUUCCACAAUGGGCGCAAGCCUGAUGGAGCAACACCGCGUGAGUGACGAAGGGUUUCGGCUCGUAAAGCUCUGUUGUUGGAGAAGAACGUGCGUGAGAGUAACUGUCCAUGCAGUGACGGUAUCCUCCCAGAAAGUCCCGUCUAACUACGUGCCAGCAGCCGCGGUAAUACGUAGGUGGCAAGCGUUAUCCGGAUUUAUUGGGCGUAAAGCGAGCGCAGGCGGUUGCUUAGGUCUGAUGUGAAAGCCUUCGGCUUAACCGAAGAAGUGCAUCGGAAACCGGGCGACUUGAGUGCAGAAGAGGACAGUGGAACUCCAUGUGUAGCGGUGGAAUGCGUAGAUAUAUGGAAGAACACCAGUGGCGAAGGCGGCUGUCUGGUCUGCAACUGACGCUGAGGCUCGAAAGCAUGGGUAGCGAA